rnacentral:rRNA from 1 species
GAUGAACGCUGGCGGCGUGCCUAAUACAUGCAAGUCGAGCGAACAGAUGAGGAGCUUGCUCCUCUGACGUUAGCGGCGGACGGGUGAGUAACACGUGGAUAACCUACCUAUAAGACUGGGAUAACUUCGGGAAACCGGAGCUAAUACCGGAUAAUAUAUUGAACCGCAUGGUUCAAUAGUGAAAGACGGUUUUGCUGUCACUUAUAGAUGGAUCCGCGCCGCAUUAGCUAGUUGGUAAGGUAACGGCUUACCAAGGCAACGAUGCGUAGCCGACCUGAGAGGGUGAUCGGCCACACUGGAACUGAGACACGGUCCAGACUCCUACGGGAGGCAGCAGUAGGGAAUCUUCCGCAAUGGGCGAAAGCCUGACGGAGCAACGCCGCGUGAGUGAUGAAGGUCUUCGGGUCGUAAAACUCUGUUAUUGGGGAAGAACAAAUGUGUAAGUAACUAUGCACGUCUUGACGGUACCUAAUCAGAAAGCCACGGCUAACUACGUG